UACGUAGGGUGCAAGCGUUAAUCGGAAUUACUGGGCGUAAAGCGUGCGCAGGCGGCUUUGCAAGACAGAUGUGAAAUCCCCGGGCUCAACCUGGGAACUGCAUCUGUGACUGCAUCGCUGGAGUGCGGCAGAGGGGGAUGGAAUUCCGCGUGUAGCAGUGAAAUGCGUAGAUAUGCGGAGGAACACCGAUGGCGAAGGCAAUCCCCUGGGCCUGCACUGACGCUCAUGCACGAAAGCGUGGGGAGCAACAGG
rnacentral:rRNA from 1 species